AGUUUGACCAUGGCCAAACAGGAACAGGAGGGCUUCAAAUUGAAACCUUGUAUGUUACAAACACGGAAUGAGCAGUUCGUAAAAGGGGACUUCCGCCUUUGGUGAGCACCGCCCCCAAGCAGCUGGAACCUAUGAAAAUGGAGAGCUACUGAAUGUAAUGACGUCAUGACAGCGGGAGAAUCAAGCAUGGUGCUGUACACAAAUAGAAGCUUCUCUCCAUUCUUCAGUAAAAUAUCUCACGAUUAGACUGAGCGCUACAUGUUCAUGUAUUAACAGGUAAAGAUAAGCUACUUUCAUUCCAAAUACAUCUAGAGUUUGCUAAUCGUAAAAAUGUUAUAUCCGAAACAAUAUUCUGCAUUCAGCAGUAUUUCUACAGAUAACUGAAAUGCUUUUGUAACCGUACGAGAUCCCGUGAUUUUACUUAUACCAAAAAAUAAUGAGUGCACGUGGUCAUUUUUGAAAUAACUCAUCACAUUGAUUAAUCUUGUGACACAAAGGCAGGGUGGUUGAACAGGGUUAGCUCUUUCAUAAAGAAAUUGAAACAAAGAGACUGCUUUAGAUUAUCUGAUGCUGAAAUUAAUAUGAUGAAACGUGUAAGUGAAAAUAGUUAGGUGAGUGAUGAACGCAUGGCAAUGAUUUUCGGUACAGUUCGAAAAUAGGGUAUCCAAAGGUGCAAAGCUGAUUGUUAGAUGCUGCUAUUCAGAGAAACAUUAAACCCAUGUUGAUUUUUGCAAUGAAGUAUUUAAUUAAAACCAGUAAAGGUACUCAUUUCCAAAAUAAAAAAGUCUUAAUAUC